GUUGGCUGUACAAAAGAGCACAAAACACUUCAUCGUGUCCCAGCCGAAGAGGACAGAAGAGCGGCAUGGAUUGAAUUUAUUUUUGAUGGCAAUAUCCAUGCUACAGUUGGCAAGAAACUGGCAACAAUCAUUUCGAGACUGACUGUUUCUCAAACUACGGUCAGUACAAGGCAGGAUUAGCCGGGAAACUCAUGUUAAACGACGGCGCAGUUCCAACUUUGCGCGAAAUACAUGCAGACGAGGAACAUGAACUCCUGCGUUCUACAAUCUAGAAAAAGGAGCUGACCAAGAAGACUGUCCUGAAGGAUAUUGCCAAACUCAGUCCCCACUACCAGACGUCCUCUUUGGAGGCGUUCCAUAGUGUCAUUCUGUGGUUCGCACCCAAAAACGUGGUCUAUCCAUAUCUGGGAAUGCUGUGCAGACUCUACCUGGCUGCACUGCAUUAUAAUGAGAAUGCUAAUCGAGGACAAGCCACCACAUCUUCAAGGGAUCCUCUUUACAAACUGAGCUUUCCAAAAUCCAGGAAGGGAGAGUGCAGAGCCAGACCAGUGAAGACAGACGCUACAUUCCGUAAGUUGUUUUUUUUUUUUUUUUUACACAAAAACAAACAUUUACAUUGUACAUGACAAAGUACUGCAACAGUGCUUUCAACACAAUAAAUAAAACCAAACAAACUUACUUAAAUACCUGAGAAACUACAAAAUUUCACGUACCGGAAGUUUGUAGUUUUUAGUGUUUAAAAAAAAAAAAAAAAAAAAAAACUAAACAUGCGGGCU